ACCCACGUAGCUCAAUUGGCAGAGCACCGGUUUCCAAAACCGGAGGAUCUUGGUUCGAGUCCAGGCGGGGGUG
rnacentral:tRNA from 1 species